GUGAAAAAUGGAAACUAAAACAAAUAGUAAGGAUGGAUGAGGGAAAUAACUCUUUAUACGUUAGGCAGGGUGCAUUGGUGUUUCACUAAGCAAUCCAAAAAAAAGUGGAAGGUUAGUGAUAGUUAUUAUCAUGAAUGGAUGGCACUCAAAACGUGAAAUCGAGAGAAGGCAUAGACUUCAGCCUCCCAGCAACCUGAUUAUACGUUGCUUUUUGGGGUAACAAAAUUGGGGAAGAGUUAUCCCUAUUUGCAAAGACAAAAUAAAUGUCCUAAUUUUGCAGCCAGCAAUGAAACCAAUUUUUUUUUUUUGUUAGUUUUAACUGAGACUGUAACCCCUCUUAUUUGAUGGACUCCAAAUAUUUUAGUUUUUAGAAAUCUGUACAUUUUGUUGUUUAAAAUAAAUAAGGUACACACACAAGAAAAGAAAAAGGAUUUUUUUUUUUAAUAUGGCACUGAAAUGACUGAUGUACAUUAUACCAGAGUAAUGUUCUAUGCGUUUCUUUUUAUUUUUUAUUUUAUCUUCUGUAUCUUAUUUAGAAUUCUGCCUUGAGUAUAGUCCAUGG